UACGGGGGGGAGCAGUCGUUGUCGGAAUUACUGGGCGUAAAGGGCUCGUAGGUGGCCAACUAAGUCAGACGUGAAAUCCCUCGGCUUAACCGGGGAACUGCGUCUGAUACUGGAUGGCUUGAGUUCGGGAGAGGGAUGCGGAAUUCCAGGUGUAGCGGUGAAAUGCGUAGAUAUCUGGAGGAACACCGGUGGCGAAGGCGGCAUCCUGGACCGACACUGACACUGAGGAGCGAAAGCGUGGGGAGCAAACAGG
rnacentral:rRNA from 1 species